CGUGUCUCGAAUGUCGCGUGUCAUGCUUUCUUUUCGAACUGGUGCAUCAUAUUAAGCGAGGCUACCAGUUCGAAAAGAAAGCAUGACACGCGACAUUCGAGACACGAAU
rnacentral:pre_miRNA from 1 species